GGGCGCAUCACCUCUAAUCCUUGACGAAGCUGAUUUGCAGCUGGUUCGCCCUCAGGGAAAGCCUCAAUCUACAGCUAGUUUGCUCACACUGCUGUGCUGCAGACGUCCGGGGCUCCUACCUGCGACCUUGGGCGAAUGCUGUUCUGCCACAAAUACUCCAUGAUCACUGAAAGGUAGUAAGUACCUGCUAACCUCGGGGACGUGCCGCACUCUAGACAAGGAAACAAGUUCCAAAGCCUCGGAAAACCGGAGAGGAGUUGACAAAGCGUGUUCAUCGCGUGAAAACCACCACCCUUCAUCGGCACUCGUCCCCUAACCCAGGACGAAUGUGAGGCCUGGAGGAAGUAGCAAGGGCAUAAUUGGUCAGAAGGAGAGCCCACCAUUCGGAGAUACCUUCGAGGCUGGUGGGGUGCUUCCACUUCCUUCGGGUUCCUCUGCCCGGCAGGGAGGUUCCACGACGGCAGGGGUCGGGUGGAUGGUCGUUCUAAUGUCCCCACACCAAGAACAGGGUCAGACAUUCACCGGGACGCUCCCCUGGGACUUGUAAAUUACUUGGUCGUCUUUAGCUUUUAGGCCCUUGAGGAACUGAAGAACCCCGAGAAUGGAAAUAGUGAAAAGCUUUUCAAAGCGGAAACUUGUUUUUCAAACUUAUCCAUCCAGUUAAUUGAGCAGCAUCCGCAGCGGCGGCAACGGGAAAGACGAACCGCGCGCCACCCGCCGGUCGAGCUUCCGGCGCUCAGCUCGGCUC